rnacentral:rRNA from 1 species
GAUGAACGCUGGCGGCGUGCCUAAUACAUGCAAGUCGAACGAAACUUCUUUAUCACCGAGUGCUUGCACUCACCGAUAAAGAGUUGAGUGGCGAACGGGUGAGUAACACGUGGGCAACCUGCCCACAAGAGGGGGAUAACACUAGGAAACAGGUGCUAAUACCGCAUAACCAUAGUUACCGCAUGGUAACUAUGUAAAAGGUGGCUAUACUACCGCUUUUGGAUGGGGCGGCGGUGCAUUAGCUAGGUGGUAGGGUAAAGGCUUAGCAAGGCGAUGAUGGGCUGCCGAAUGGAUAGGUGGAUAGGCGACCUUGGGACUGGACCACGGCCCAUGCGCCUACGGGAGGCAGCAGUAGGGUAUCGGCCACAACGGUCGAAAGCCUGGUGGAGCAGCGCCGCGUGGGUGAAGAAGGCCUUCGGUUCGUAAAGCCCUGUUUUGAGUUGAGAAAGUGCGUGGGAGGAACUGUUCACUUUUCGACGGUAUCUAACCAGAAAGCCACGGCUAACUACGUG